UGCAGGAGAGGAGUCGAGCAGAGAGAGCUGCUUUUUCAUGAAACGGGAGUAAAGUAGUAAAUUUACAGGAACAUAUACCACUACCAACGUUUGGAUCGAUAUCUGCAUCGAUCUGCACACCCUUUGUCCCUGGAUUGUAGCUGAGAUCACCGUGAACCACGUGGGUCUCUGCUCCCUGAUCUGUUUGGAAAGACUUCCAGCUUCAUCACGGAGUUUCUAAAGGCUCGGGACCAGCACUCCUGUUGUUGGACAGAAAGACAUCAACUCAGUGACUUGAGAUAUGACUGCACUAUGCUGUUGCUGGUGACUCCAGUUAUUUCUACAAGACAUGCUGUGACACCAGGAGAGAUGAGUCCUCCGUCACAGAUGGUGUGGUCAGUGAAGAUGGUCGCCUGCAGGUUCAAGCUCAUUGCAUCUCCAACCCACAUCCACUGCCACUGUACUUAAGGGAAGUUAAAGACUUUCUUCUGCACCUACAUUUGGAUCACCCUGAUCCAUGACAGUCAUUCAGGCAGUAAUGCCUGGACUGGAAACAAGCCAUCCUUAAAAUAUUACAACAUUCCAGCUCCUGUGUUGGAAUGGAAAACAAAUGUGUUGUUUAAAUUAGAGACUGCACUUGUGACAGAACAAUAAAUAUUUUAUUUUGAUUAUAUAAGUAAUGUAAGUACAAAACAAGCUUGUGG